UGUCAGCUCUGCCCUGCAUCUCUUUCUAGACACUAGGUGUAGCGUGGGCUUGAGAAGCAGAACGUCUUCCCAGAUGUGAAGGCUCCUCAGGUGCACCAGGUCCACAUCUGUGCUUUGAGCGACCAUGGAUGUUCUUCACUGCAAACAGGACCAUGGAAAGGAUCCAUCACUCCUGAGAUCUACAGACCUUCAGUCGAUCAUAUUAUCUCCUAUGUUUAUUUAAAACUAUAAAUGCCACCCUGUUC
rnacentral:lncRNA from 1 species